AACGAACGCUGGCGGCAUGCCUAACACAUGCAAGUCGAACGAGACCUUCGGGUCUAGUGGCGCACGGGUGCGUAACGCGGGGGAACCUGCCCUUAGGUUCGGAAUAACUCCCCGAAAGGGGUGCGAAUACCGGAGAAUGUCUUGCGACCCAAGAUUUGUCGCCUUUGGAUGGGCCCGUGUUGGAUUAGCUAGUUGGUAGGGUAAAAGCCUACCAAGGCGACGAUCCAUAGCUGGUCUGAGAGGAUGCUCAGCCACACUGGGACUGAGACACGGCCCAGACUCCUACGGGAGGCAGCAGUGGGGUAUAUUGGACAAUGGGCGAGAGCCUGAUCCAGCAAUGCCGCGUGAGUGAUGAAGGCCUUAGGGUUGUAAAGCUCUUUUACCCGGGAUGAUAAUGACAGUACCGGGAGAAUAAGCUCCGGCUAACUCCGUG
rnacentral:rRNA from 1 species